rnacentral:rRNA from 1 species
GAUGAACGCUGGCGGCGUGCCUAAUACAUGCAAGUCGAGCGAACAGACGAGGAGCUUGCUCCUCUGACGUUAGCGGCGGACGGGUGAGUAACACGUGGAUAACCUACCUAUAAGACUGGGAUAACUUCGGGAAACCGGAGCUAAUACCGGAUAAUAUAUUGAACCGCAUGGUUCAAUAGUGAAAGACGGUUUUGCUGUCACUUAUAGAUGGAUCCGCGCCGCAUUAGCUAGUUGGUAAGGUAACGGCUUACCAAGGCAACGAUGCGUAGCCGACCUGAGAGGGUGAUCGGCCACACUGGAACUGAGACACGCUCCAGACUCCUACGGGAGGCAGCAGUAGGGAAUCUUCCGCAAUGGGCGAAAGCUUGACGGAGCAACGCCGCGUGAGUGAUGAAGGUCUUCGGAUCGUAAAACUCUGUUAUUAGGGAAGAACAAAUGUGUAAGUAGCUAUGCACGUCUUGACGGUACCUAAUCAGAAAGCCACGGCUAACUACGUG